rnacentral:rRNA from 1 species
UGCUCCCUCUGGCGGCGUGCCUAAUACAUGCAAGUCGAGCGGACCGGCUUGGGGAUUGUCUUGAUUCGGUCAGCGGCGGACGGGUGAGUAACACGUGGGCAAGCUGCUCGCAAUACCGGGAUAACUCCGGGAAACAGGAGAUAAUACCGGAUAACACCGAAGACCGCAUGGUCUUCGGUUGAAUGGCGGCCUUUGGGCUGUAACUUGCGGAUGGGCCCGCGGCGCAUUAGCUAGUUGGUGAGGUACCGGCUCACCAAGGCGAGGAUGCGUAGCCGGGCUGAGAGGGAGGACGGCCACACUGGGACUGAGACACGGCCCAGACGCCUACAGGGAGCAGCAAGAGGGGAUCUUCCGCAAUGGGCGGAAACCUUGCGGAGCGACUCCGCGGGAGGGGAGAAGGCCGUCGGGUCGGAAAGGUCUGUUGUGGGGGACGAAAGAGCGUCGGUCGAAGACGGCGGCGCGGUGACGGUACCUCACGAGAAAGCCCCGGCUAACUACGUG